UCAGGAGAUGGAGAAUAAUGGGAGUAGAGAAUUAGGAGUCGAUUGAUUUGCGUACUUUGGAGAGUUCUAGAGGCUUUAAUUUAUAGAAGAGGAGUUUGAGACAUGUUCAACUCGGAGCCCUGGCAGUUUUCGAAUCUAUCGGACGGAUAGAUUUGGAGAAGGAUUUUUCUUUUACAGGAGAUCUGGUUGCAAAGAAAUUCUUCCUUAUCUGGACUUUUUUAGUUUAGAGGAAGGACUGAUCUGCUAGUAGAAGGACUAGCUCGGCUUCAAUCGACCUAAUUGGUCAUCUUCAUCUAUGGCCGAUCUAGAAGAUCGUCCAAGUUGGGGAACUGAAGUUUGUGGAGUGGGCGCUUAUCAUCGUUUGUUGAAGUAGAUCAACGAAAAUGAAGUAGAUCGUCUUCCAAAAUAAAACGGAAUU
rnacentral:lncRNA from 1 species